AGAGUUUGAUCAUGGCUCAGGAUGAACGCUAGCGGCAGGCUUAAUACAUGCAAGUCGAGGGGCAUCGGAUCCCUUCGGGGAUGCCGGCGACCGGCGAACGGGUGAGUAACACGUAUGGAACCUGCCCUUAACUGGGGGAUAGCCCCGAGAAAUCGGGGUUAAUACCCCAUACCAUAAUGAAGGGGCAUCCCUUCAUUAUGAAAGCUCCGGCGGUUAAGGAUGGCCAUGCGGUCCAUUAGCUUGUUGGUGAGGUAACUGCUCACCAAGGCCACGAUGGAUAGCUGAUCUGAGAGGAUGGUCAGCCACAUUGGCACUGAGACACGGGCCAAACUCCUACGGGAGGCAGCAGUAGGGAAUCUUGGUCAAUAGGCGAAAGCCUGAACCAGCCAUGCCGCGUGCAGGAUGAAGGCCCUACGGGUCGUAAACUGCUUUCAUUCGGGAAGAAAAAGUCUGUGUCCACAGACCUUGACGGUACCGAAUGAAUAAGGACCGGCCAACUCCGUGCCAGCAGCCGCGGUAAUACGGAGGGUCCAAGCGUUAUCCGGAUUCACUGGGUUUAAAGGGUGCGCAGGCGGUCAAGUAAGUCAGUGGUGAAAGCCUUCGGCUCAACCGGAGAAUUGCCAUUGAAACUACCUGACUUGAGUGUAGUUGAGGUGGGCGGAAUGUAGCAUGUAGCGGUGAAAUGCAUAGAUAUGCUACAGAACACCGAUAGCGAAAGCAGCUCACCAGACUACGACUGACGCUGAGGCACGAAAGCAUG
rnacentral:rRNA from 1 species